rnacentral:rRNA from 1 species
AGUGAACGCUGGCGGUAGGCCUAACACAUGCAAGUCGAACGGCAGCACAGUAAGAGCUUGCUCUUACGGGUGGCGAGUGGCGGACGGGUGAGGAAUACAUCGGAAUCUACUUUUUCGUGGGGGAUAACGUAGGGAAACUUACGCUAAUACCGCAUACGACCUACGGGUGAAAGCAGGGGAUCUUCGGACCUUGCGCGAUUGAAUGAGCCGAUGUCGGAUUAGCUAGUUGGCGGGGUAAAGGCCCACCAAGGCGACGCUCCGUAGCUGGUCUGAGAGGAUGAUCAGCCACACUGGAACUGAGACACGGUCCAGACUCCUACGGGGGGCAGCAGUGGGGAAUAUUGGACAAUGGGCGCAAGCCUGAUCCAGCCAUACCGCGUGGGUGAAGAAGGCCUUCGGGUUGUAAAGCCCUUUUGUUGGGAAAGAAAAGCAGCAGGUUAAUACCCCGCUGUUCUGACGGUACCCAAAGAAUAAGCACCGGCUAACUUCGUG